rnacentral:rRNA from 1 species
AACGGAGAGUUUGAUCCUGGCUCAGGAUGAACGCUGGCGGCGUGCUUAACACAUGCAAGUCGAACGGGCAUUUUGGGAAACUGGAAUGCUAGUGGCAAACGGGUGCGUAACACGUGGGUAACCUACCUCAGAGUGGGGAACAACAGACCGAAAGGUUUGCUAAUACCGCAUAUGCUCAGCAAUGAGUAAAGCCGCAAGGCGCUUUGAGAGGGGCCCGCGUCCCAUCAGGUAGUUGGUGAGGUAAUGGCCCACCAAGCCGAUGACGGGUAGCUGUUCUGAGAGGAAGAUCAGCCACACUGGCACUGAGAUACGGGCCAGACUCCUACGGGAGGCAGCAGUGAGGAAUAUUGCGCAAUGGACGAAAGUCUGACGCAGCGACGCCGCGUGGGCGAUGAAGGCCUUCGGGUCGUAAAGCCCUUUUGGCAGGGACGAGUGAGGACGGUACCUGUCGAAUAAGUCUCGGCUAACUACGUGCCAGCAGCC